rnacentral:rRNA from 1 species
UACGUAGGUGGCAAGCGUUGUCCGGAUUUACUGGGCGUAAAGAGCGCGCAGGCGGUUGAUUAAGUCGAAUGUGAAAGCCCCCGGCUCAACUGGGGAGGGUCAUUCGAUACUGAUCGACUUGAAGGCAGGAGAGGGAAGUGGAAUUCCGGGUGUAGUGGUGAAAUGCGUAGAUAUCCGGAGGAACACCAGUGGCGAAGGCGACUUCCUGGCCUGUUCUUGACGCUGAGGCGCGAAAGCUGGGGGAGCAAACGGG